GGCAAAGAGGAUGGACAUCAGAAGAAGAAGAAAACAGGAAACAACCUAGGAACCUACCACAGAGGGCCUCUGAAAGCCUCUGCCCUUCAGACUAUCAAAGCAGAUGCUGAGCCGGAUGGGCAACUGUUGGCAGGUGAAUGGAAUUUUAGGUAUCCUGUGCCCACAAAUCAACAAGGAACAACCUUGAGAAGAACAAUGUCCUUUUUCUCUUGAGGAUUCUUUGACAACCAGACAGGUCAACUUCUGGCAGCACCCCCAGUUUGCCUCAAGAAGAUGAUGAACAUCAAAGGACCUCCUAUGGAGUUGCUUCUACGUGGCAAGUUAGCCACCAGAACAAAGAAAAUGCCCUCAUUUCUGCCGCAGACAGAAUUCUGCCUAAAACGGGCAAGUUUGUACGCAGGCCAAGUGGAUUGCUGAGCUCUGCCAACACAGGGUAAGCAAGUCCUUCAUAGUUCCUGCUUCACAAAUAUGUCUGUCAGAUACACUGGGCCAGAAGGCUGAAGAUGAUGCUCCAUCCUAAUAGAGGUUUGGGGUGACUGUCCAGGUGGCAAACUGUCUCUAUUAUAUUUAUUUUUAUUUUGGAAGCUGCUAGCUUGGACUUUCUGUUUACUCACGUAAUUACUUUUAUUCCUUCUCAAGUCUCUGAUGGGGUUGAAGACCAAAUAGUUAUAGUUCUACAAUUAAGCUUAGUUGCUUAGGAAUUAAGAAGAUGUUUUAAGGUCUAUAUAGAUGUUUUCAGGUUGGUAUAUACAUGAUAUGAUAGAGAUAGAUUUAGGUUCAGAAACUUAGACUCUCAUAGAUAAGAGAUAAUAUUUUCUUCAAGGUUGCCAAAUGUCUUUAGACUAGAUAUUAUGUAUGUAAUUCUUACCUACUGCAUUUUAUAGUUGUUUCAUACUUGUCCUACUACACAUAGUUUUAAAAAAUGGCUUUUUUAAAAAUUAGACAAAAAGGGGAAAUUAUAAUGGCAUGACGUGGUGCUUUGUAUUUGAUUGUUAAAUUUUUUGCUCCCUACGAUCUGGUUGCUGCCCAGAUCAGCACAUUUCCACAUACACCUGUCCUUGUUGUGUAAAUCUUAUUCUACCCAAUUUAAAGUUGAUUGGUUAAUAAAAAUGCAGAAGCCUCGGCAAGGUAGAAGUGAGGGGCAGAGCUAAGGUUCUCAGACUUUGGGGAGAGAAGGAUCUUGGGAAGGAGGAGAGAAGGAAGGAAGGAGGCAGAGCCACAUGGGUUAUUGUGGAGAGAAACACAUGGCCGGAUCAGCAUCAAUGGAGGAAAGCAAUCCAGAUGAGAAACAUAAGCAAGUAUUUAUGUAAUUAUGGAUGGGAAGUAGCCAAGAUUGAAAUUUUUAGAGCAAUUUGCAUGGGAUGUGGGGCUGGGAGGAAAAAGUAGCUUAGGAGGCAUUAUCUGCCAUGCCCUAUGUGAAGU